rnacentral:lncRNA from 1 species
GGAAAAAGGUCCCAAUUAAUGGAUUCUGACAUGGAUUAUGAAAGGCCAAACGUAGAGACCAUCAAGUGCGUGGUGGUGGGGGACAACGCCGUGGGCAAGACCAGGCUCAUUUGUGCCCGGGCCUGCAAUGCCACCCUCACCCAGUACCAGCUGCUCGCCACCCACGUGCCCACGGUUUGGGCCAUCGACCAGUAUCGGGUGUGCCAGGAGGUGCUGGAACGUUCCCGAGACGUAGUAGAUGAUGUCAGCGUGUCCCUCCGCCUCUGGGACACCUUCGGAGAUCACCACAAAGACCGUCGCUUUGCUUAUGGGAGAUCUGAUGUGGUGGUUCUGUGCUUCUCCAUUGCCAACCCCAACUCCCUCCACCAUGUCAAGACCAUGUGGUACCCAGAAAUCAAGCACUUCUGCCCCCGAGCACCUGUCAUCUUGGUGGGUUGCCAGCUGGACCUGCGUUAUGCUGACCUGGAGGCUGUCAAUAGGGCCAGGAGACCCUUGGCUAGGCCCAUCAAGCCCAAUGAAAUCCUUCCCCCAGAGAAGGGUCGGGAAGUGGCCAAGGAGCUGGGCAUCCCCUACUAUGAGACCAGUGUGGUGGCCCAGUUUGGCAUCAAGGACGUCUUUGACAACGCCAUCCGGGCAGCGCUCAUUUCCCGCCGGCACCUGCAGUUCUGGAAGUCCCACCUCCGCAACGUGCAGCGGCCUCUGCUGCAGGCGCCCUUCCUGCCCCCCAAGCCACCUCCCCCCAUCAUCGUGGUGCCCGACCCCCCCUCCAGCAGCGAAGAGUGCCCCGCCCACCUCCUGGAGGACCCGCUGUGUGCGGAUGUCAUCCUGGUGCUGCAGGAACGGGUGCGCAUCUUUGCCCACAAGAUCUACCUCUCCACCUCCUCCUCCAAGUUCUAUGACCUGUUCCUCAUGGACCUGAGUGAGGGGGAGCUGGGGGGCCCCUCGGGGUCAGGGGGCCCCCACCCGGAGGACCACCGGGGUCACCCUGAUCACCACCACCACCACCACCACCACCACCACCACGGCCGGGACUUCCUGCUCCGGGCAGCCAGCUUUGAUGUGUGCGAGAGUGUGGAGGAGGGUGGGGGCUCUGGUCCCGCUGGGCUGCGGGCCUCAACCAGCGAUGGGAUCUUACGGGGCAACGGGACAGGGUACCUGCCCGGGAGGGGUCGAGUGCUGUCUUCCUGGAGCCGAGCUUUUGUGAGCAUCCAGGAAGAGAUGGCAGAAGAUCCACUGACUUACAAAUCCCGGCUGAUGGUGGUGGUGAAAAUGGACAACUCCAUCCAACCGGGGCCCUUCCGGGCUGUUCUCAAGUACCUGUACACAGGGGAGUUGGACGAGAAUGAGCGGGACCUCAUGCACAUUGCCCACAUUGCUGAGCUGCUCGAGGUCUUCGAUCUGCGCAUGAUGGUGGCCAACAUUCUCAACAACGAGGCCUUCAUGAACCAGGAAAUCACCAAGGCCUUCCAUGUCCGCCGGACCAACCGGGUUAAGGAGUGCUUGGCAAAAGGCACCUUCUCAGAUGUGACCUUCAUCCUGGAUGAUGGCACCAUCAGCGCCCACAAGCCCCUGUUGAUUUCCAGCUGUGACUGGAUGGCUGCCAUGUUUGGGGGGCCAUUUGUGGAGAGUUCCACCAGGGAGGUGGUGUUUCCUUACACGAGCAAGAGCUGCAUGAGGGCAGUGCUGGAGUACCUCUACACGGGCAUGUUCACGUCCAGUCCCGACCUGGACGACAUGAAGCUCAUCAUCCUGGCCAACCGCCUCUGCCUGCCCCACCUGGUUGCCCUCACAGAACAGUACACCGUGACCGGGCUGAUGGAAGCGACUCAGAUGAUGGUGGACAUCGAUGGGGACGUCCUUGUGUUCCUGGAACUGGCUCAGUUCCACUGUGCGUACCAGCUGGCCGACUGGUGUCUCCAUCACAUCUGUACCAACUAUAACAACGUGUGUCGCAAGUUCCCCCGAGACAUGAAGGCCAUGUCCCCAGAAAACCAGGAGUAUUUUGAGAAGCACCGCUGGCCGCCCGUCUGGUACCUGAAGGAGGAGGAUCACUACCAGCGGGCCCGGAAGGAGCGUGAGAAGGAGGACUAUCUCCACCUGAAACGGCAGCCCAAGCGGCGCUGGCUGUUCUGGAACAGUCCCUCCUCACCGUCCUCUUCAGCUGCGUCCUCUUCGUCCCCAUCUUCCUCCUCGGCUGUGGUCUGAGAUGCUGCCGCCCUCUUCUGACCCUGCUGCUCUCGUCCCCACUUGUCCUUGCCCCUCUGCUCCUCUGCAUCGCCCCCUCUACCUUCCAGGGACAAAGGACUCACAUAACCAGGACCCCACGGGCAGAGCUGCUCUCACCAGCCAACACAGCUCAGCAAAGAGAGGAAGGAGCCAGGCCGCGUGGAUCAGAACAGGGAGCCCCCCCACCUCUGCUGAGGUCCCGCUUCCAGAAACCGAGGCAGGAGACGACUCUUGGGAGGUGGGGAACAGGAGAAGAGCUGAGGGCUGUGGCACCUUGUCUCUGGGUCAGAGAACCCUAGAGUCAAAGGGAGAACUCCCCCAGCCGCGAGGCUGCGUGUCUUGGGUCCACGGAGGCAGCUCCCUCCCUGGGAGUGGUGGUGCCCAGGAAGGGCCCUUUCUCGGGGGGCCGUGUGUUUCCAUCCACGGACUUGGGGGGUUGCAGAUGUUUUGUGGGCAUUUCCACGUGGAGCCUACUCAAUUCCUCACUGGAGAAGUCAGGGUAGAAAUUAAGCCUUUAGAGCCCAACUCGAGACUUCCACACCUGGGGUGCAGCUGCCAGAGGCCAUGGGUGGAAGGCUUGCCCUCUGCGGGCACCCCUGCCAUGGCUGUGGGCAUCCAGGCCUGAGAAGGGUGGCAGAGAUUGUUCAGAGCUGCAGGUCUAGAAGCAGUGCCUCUUGGUGCAGUGAGAGACUUUUCUCUCCCCCCUCCUUCACUGCUCAGAUUUCCAGAUAGAAACCAAACAAAACAGCUGGAACCGGGGGAGAGAAGGAGGCGGGGGAUGGGGGCCUGGGCGCAGCAAUCCCGUACUCCUCUGGGCCCUCCACCCCCCACCCCACCCCCCCGCCUCUGGUCAGCACAGCUUCUUAUGGGAUAGGGCAAAAUUAGCAAAAAAAAAAAAAAAAAAAAAAAAAAA